GUCACGCGGGGAUGUCCAGUGUGUAAACACAGAUCCUCUGAGAGCAGAAAGCGUGCAGUUCUCUAGGACAGCAGCCGCGUCUGGGCCCAAGGCUGGCUAACUAGCAGGCUGAGUGAGGCUCGACGGAGGGCGCCUUACGCGGGCACUUCCAUGACUCCCAGGUUCUGACGGCACAAGAGCCCUGAUGCCCACGCUCACGGACAGUUCCCCGCUGGAGCGGGCAGGGGACCUGACCCUACGACACAGGGCGUCCUGUGUCAGAGGCAGGAGGCUGAGGACACAGCUGCGCAGAGCCGCCCAGCAGAGGUUACCCGGAUAACGAUAAGUGGUCCCCGCGACGCCCCUUAAGUCUCUGGGGUUAUCUGGAGCGCAGGUUUGCAGACCCGCUGCCCCCGCGGUGGGCCAGGUCCACGGGGCCGGAAGAUAGCAGGAUCUGUCCAGCCCUCGGGCUGCGGCGGCUGCUCGCGGAGCCCACUCUCCCCGACGGUCCCCAGCUUGCUCCAGCUCUGCCUGGAGCUCCCAUGCGUGCCCUCCGCAUCCGCCCUGGCCGCCCAGUCACACACCUGCAGUCCCCGCCGGGCGCCGAGCCCCUCUCCAGCGGCGACUCCCUGCGAUUCGGGUGACCGUCGGGACCACCGCGCCCCAGCUGGAGCCGCGCGGCGAG
rnacentral:lncRNA from 1 species